rnacentral:rRNA from 1 species
GAAGAUGGCCUCGCGUCUGAUUAGCUAGUUGGUGAGGUAACGGCCCACCAAGGCGACGAUCAGUAGCCGGACUGAGAGGUUGGCCGGCCACAUUGGGACUGAGAUACGGCCCAGACUCCUACGGAAGGCAGCAG